CCUACGGGUGGCACCAGUGGGGAAUAUUGCACAAUGGGCGCAGGCCUGAUGCAGCCAUGCCGCGUGUGUGAAGAAGGCCUUCGGGUUGUAAAGCACUUUCAGCGGGGAGGAAGGCGUUAAGGUUAAUAACCUUGGCGAUUGACGUUACCCGCAGAAGAAGCACCGGCUAACUCCGUGCCAGCAGCCGCGGUAAUACGGAGGGUGCAAGCGUUAAUCGGAAUUACUGGGCGUAAAGCGCACGCAGGCGGUCUGUCAAGUCGGAUGUGAAAUCCCCGGGCUCAACAUGGGAACUGCAUUCGAAACUGGCAGGCUGAGUCUUGUAGAGGGGGGUAGAAUUCCAGGUGUAGCGGUGAAAUGCGUAGAGAUCUGGAGGAAUACCGGUGGCGAAGGCGGCCCCCUGGACAAAGACUGACGCUCAGGUGCGAAAGCGUGGGGAGCAAACAGGAUUAGAUACCCUCGUAGUC
rnacentral:rRNA from 1 species